CUUUAAUAAAAAAAAACCAAAUCAAAACAUGCUCAACCCUCAGAUUGGACUAAAGAAUUUCUACAUAUGGACUGAUAAAAGGUGAUUGGAACAUGGGAGCAUUAUACUCAGUAGAUUCAUCCAUUGAUCAGUUCUGAAGCUGAAUGUAUUGUGGAAAGUGGGGACUUACUGGAGAGUGAAAUUCUGCACAGAUGUUUGAAGUUUUUAAAAGGCCAAAGUAAAGGAUUAGUUUGAACAGCAAAGCAAGCACUCCCUCCUGAAGUGGAAUUACUGGAGGAAACUGGAGACAACAAAGCCCUGGCCCUCAAGGUGCAAGACCA